GUCCCCAUCGUCUAGUCAGGUCCAGGACACAGGCCUUUCACGCCUGCGACAGGGGUUCGAAUCCCCUUGGGGACGCCA
rnacentral:tRNA from 1 species